UACGAAGGGUGCAACCGUUGCUCGGAAUUAUUGGGCGUAAAGCGCACGUAGGCGGCUUUGCAAGUCGGAUGUGAAAUCCCUCGGCUCAACCAAGGAAGUGCAUCCGAAACUGCAGAGCUUGAGUACCAAAGAGGAUCGCGGAAUUCCCGGUGUAGAGGUGAAAUUCGUAGAUAUCGGGAGGAACACCAGUGGCGAAGGCGACUACCUGGCCUGUUCUUGACGCUGAGGCGCGAAAGCUAGGGGAGCAAACGGG
rnacentral:rRNA from 1 species